UUCAUAUUGGACAUUCACUGGUAAAAUAAUUAGUGUUUGGUCUAGCUACUUACAAUCUGCAGUGCUUGUUCUGCUCAGUACCUCAUGGACAUUUAUGUUUAGAGGAGGACUUUUAUUUUGAUGCACGUACCUGUUGCUGCUAGAGUCACAGGCAGCAGUUAGCAGUCAGAGACGAUAAAAUGCUACUGUUGUCAAUGCUACUGAGGCUGUUCAUUUAUAUCAGUAAACUAAUUAAAUCAUC